AAGAUAAGACUUCCCACAGAGUAGUCUGGUAAGGUCUGGAGUAGACCACUCCGUUAUAGGCGCCGCGUGUACGCACGGCAACGUGUUCAGCGAAGGCGUUCUAAUCGACCGAGGGCUUGU
rnacentral:rRNA from 1 species